CUGUGAGGUGAAAUAAUUCUUACCUAUUCCUCCUUUUGGAGGGCAGAUUCGAACAUGAUGAUUGAAGUUUGCAUGAUAUACAAUUAACAUCUAUGUAGUUGGGACUUGCAACACCCUGAUUGCUCCUAGGGGCCAGAG
rfam:Otolemur garnettii contig106007, whole genome shotgun sequence.